rnacentral:rRNA from 1 species
CCUACGGGAGGCAGCAGUGAGGAAUAUUGGUCAAUGGCCGGAAGGCUGAACCAGCCAAGCCGCGUGAGGGAGGACGGCGCAGAGCGUCGCAGACCUCUUUUACAUGGGAACAAAAUGCCGGACUCGUCCGGUCCUGAGGGUACCCGGAGAAUAAGCAUCGGCUAACUCCGUGCCAGCAGCCGCGGUAAUACGGAGGAUGCGAGCGUUAUCCGGAUUCAUUGGGUUUAAAGGGUGCGCAGGCGGAUUUUUAAGUCAGUUGUGAAAUUUUGCGGCUCAACCGUAACAUUGCAGUUGAAACUGGCAGUGGUGAGUACAGUAGAGGUGGGCGGGAUUCGUGGUGUAGUGGUGAAAUGAUUAGAUAUCACGAAGAACUCCGAUUGCGAAGGCAGAUCACUGGACUGCAACUGACACUGAGGCUCGAAAGUGUGGGUAUCAAACAGGAUUAGAUACCCCUGUAGUC